UCUGUGUCCUUGAAGGUUAAAGCUGUCAAAAAGUGGUCUCCCUCAAGUUCGGCCAUCUUGCUCUCAGAGAUCUAGAACUGGACUCAGUCAAAAUUUUGGGCCAAGGAGACCGACGCGCUGUCGCCUGCACUAAGAGAAACGCAACGAACAACUUUGUCAAUGCAUUGCAUUAUACUAUAGCAGCAACUAUACUUUUAAAUGAUUCGAAUCUUGAGGUUUCAAACUGAACCGUCUUGUGCCUUUUGCCCGGCGGGCAUUUCUGCGGGGACCGCGGGUCACCUUCUGAAUUUUUACCUUCAUAAACAGCAAGGACUGCG
ensembl:lncRNA HLA complex group 16